rnacentral:rRNA from 1 species
CAUUUGCCUUUUAAUUGGAGGCUUGUAUGAAUGGUUUGACGAGAGCUAAGCUGUCUCUUUUUUAAUAUUUAAAAAUUAACUUUUAGGUGAAGAGGCCUAAAUUUAUUUGAGGGACGAGAAGACCCUGUUGAGCUUUAAUGUUGUAAUAAAAUUUUGAAUUAUAGGUGGUUUUGGCUGCUUUUUAUAUAAAUAUUAUUUAUUAAGGUAAAAUAUUUUUUUAUUAUUAAUUUUUAGUUGGGGCGACUGAGGAACAAGUAAAGCUUCCUUUAUAGUAAUUGCUUUAUAUUAAGUAAUUAAUAAUGUUGGUAGAUUAUGGAGAUCCAGUAUUUAUUGAUCAAAGGAAGAAGUUACCACAGGGAUAACAGCGUAAUCUUUCUGGAGAGAUCUUAUCGAAAGGAGGGUUUGCGACCUCGAUGUUGGACUAAGAUAUCCUAAGGGUGUAGAAGCUCUUGAUGGUUGGUCUGUUCGACCAUUAAAAUCUUACGUGAUCUGAG